GAUGAACGCUGGCGGCGUGCCUAAUACAUGCAAGUCGAACGAAAAGACGAGGAGCUUGCUCGCCUGACGUUAGCAGCGGACGGGUGAGUCACACGUGGAUGACCUACCUAUAAGAAUGGGAUAACUACGGGAGACCGGAGCUAAUACCGGAUCAUAUAUUGAACCGGAUGGUUCAAUAGUGAAAGACGGUUUUGCUGGGACUAAUAGAUGGAUCCGCGCCGCAUUAGCUAGUUGGUAAGGUAACGGCUUACCAAGGCAACGAUGAGUAGCCGACCUGAGAGGGUGAUCGGCCACACUGGCACUGAGACACGGUCCAGACUCCUACGGGAGGCAGCAGUAGGGAAUCUUCCGCAAUGGGCGAAAGCUUGACGGAGCAACGCCGCGUGAGUGAUGAAGGUCUUCGGAUCGUAAAGCUCUGUUAGUAGGGAAGAACAAAUGUGUAAGUAACCAUGCACGUCAUGACGGUACCUGAUCAGUAAGCCACGGCUAACUACGUG
rnacentral:rRNA from 1 species